UCGGGAAUUUUGGGCAAUGGGCGAAAGCCUGACCCAGCAACGCCGCGUGAGGGAUGAAGUAUUUCGGUAUGUAAACCUCGAAAGAAUGGGAAGAAUAAAUGACGGUACCAUUUAUAAGCUCCGGCUAACUACGUGCCAGCAGCCGCGGUAAUACGUAGGGAGCAAGCGUUGUUCGGAUUUACUGGGCGUAAAGGGCGCGUAGGCGGCGCGGUAAGUCACUUGUGAAAUCUCUGAGCUUAACUCAGAACGGCCAAGUGAUACUGCUGUGCUAGAGUGCGGAAGAGGCAACCGGAAUUCUUGGUGUAGCGGUGAAAUGCGUAGAGAUCAAGAGGAACACCUGAGGCGAAGGCGGGUUGCUGGGCCGACACUGACGCUGAUGCGCGAAAGCCAGGGGAGCAAACG
rnacentral:rRNA from 1 species